GACGAACUCUGGCGGCGUGCUUAACACAUGCAAGUCGAGCGGUAAGGCCCUUUCGGGGGUACACGAGCGGCGAACGGGUGAGUAACACGUGGGUGACCUGCCCUUAGCUCUGGGAUAAGCCUGGGAAACUGGGUCUAAUACCGGAUAUGACUCCAUAACGCAUGUUGUGGGGUGGAAAGCCUUGUGCGGCUAGGGAUGGGCCCGCGGCCUAUCAGCUUGUUGGUGGGGUGAUGGCCACCAAGGCGACGACGGGUAGCCGGCCUGAGAGGGCGACCGGCCACACUGGGACUGAGACACGGCCCAGACUCCUACGGGAGGCAGCAGUGGGGAAUCUUGCGCAAUGGGCGAAAGCCUGACGCAGCGACGCCGCGU
rnacentral:rRNA from 1 species